rnacentral:rRNA from 1 species
GGCAGGCUUAACACAUGCAAGUCGAGCGGUAACAGGGGUAGCUUGCUACCCGCUGACGAGCGGCGGACGGGUGAGUAAUGCUUAGGAAUCUGCCCAGUAGUGGGGGAUAGCCCGGGGAAACCCGGAUUAAUACCGCAUACGUCCUACGGGAGAAAGCAGGGGAUCUUCGGACCUUGCGCUAUUGGAUGAGCCUAAGUCGGAUUAGCUAGUUGGUGGGGUAAAGGCCUACCAAGGCGACGAUCCGUAGCUGGUCUGAGAGGAUGAUCAGCCACAUCGGGACUGAGACACGGCCCGAACUCCUACGGGAGGCAGCAGCGGGGAAUAUUGGACAAUGGGGGCAACCCUGAUCCAGCCAUGCCGCGUGUGUGAGGAAGGCUUUCGGGUUGUAAAGCACUUUCAGUAGGGAGGAAAACCUUAUGGCUAAUACCCAUGAGGCUUGACGUUACCUACAGAAGAAGCACCGGCUAACUCCGUGCCAGCAGCCGCGGUAAUACGGAGGGUGCAAGCGUUAAUCGGAAUUACUGGGCGUAAAGCGCGCGUAGGUGGUUUGGUAAGCGAGAUGUGAAAGCCCCGGGCUUAACCCUGGGACGGCAUUUCGAACUGUCA